UGUUGAAACCUAUGUGGAUUGUUGUUGUUGAAGCAGAGUCAGAGUCGUGACAUUGCUAACAUAAAACUGAAGGAGAUUUUCAUGGUUGUUGUGAGGGUAGACGGUGUCGGGACUUGGAGGAUGACGGUGGUGGUGGUUAUCGCGGAGGAUGCUACAUCGGAGAAGGGAUGGUUGAAGCGGGAGAGAAGGAAGAAAUGGGGUGACGGUCGCGAUUUGAGGGUGAAAUGGAGGUGAGCUUGGUAGAGCGACGUGAUUUGAGGGUUUUGAGGUAGGUGGUUGUUUGGAGGCAGAAAAUGAUGGUGUUAAUGUGUGGAGGGUGUUCGUUUGGAAGAUGAAGUGGAGGUUUUGAUGAAGAGUGGUCUGGGUUUGGAAGAAGAUUGUGGUGGAUGUGUGACCGGAAGAUUUGAUGGAGUUUUGUUGCGGAAAGGUUGUUGGCGGUUGUGACGGCGGUGGGAGCUCGUCGGAUGAGUUGGUUAAGGAUAAGGAAUGGUGAGGCGCAGUGAGUAUUUCGACAACGAAAAAUGACGGAGAUGUUUGUUGCUGGUGGAGGAUCGAGUUGCUUAAGGUUGGGGUUAGGUUGAGAAUCCGGUGGUGAAAGGGAAGAAGGAAAGUGGUUUGUGUGGUUUAAGUGAGAGUG
rnacentral:lncRNA from 1 species